rnacentral:rRNA from 2 species
CCAUCAGGCUUUGCUUGGUGGUGAGAGUGGCGAACGGGUGAGUAAUGCGUGACCGACCUGCCCCAUACACCGGAAUAGCUCCUGGAAACGGGUGGUAAUGCCGGAUGCUCCGGCCUGCCGCAUGGUGGGCUGGGAAAGAUUGUAUCGGUAUGGGAUGGGGUCGCGUCCUAUCAGGUAGUCGGCGGGGUAACGGCCCACCGAGCCUACGACGGGUAGCCGGCCUGAGAGGGCGACCGGCCACAUUGGGACUGAGAUACGGCCCAGACUCCUACGGGAGGCAGCAGUGGGGAAUAUUGCACAAUGGGCGCAAGCCUGAUGCAGCGACGCCGCGUGCGGGAUGACGGCCUCGGGUUGUAAACCGCUUUUGAUCGGGAGCAAGCCUUCGGGUGAGUGUACCUUUCGAAUAAGCACCGGCUAACUACGUGCCAGCAGCCGCGGUAAUACGUAGGGUGCAAGCGUUAUCCGGAAUUAUUGGGCGUAAAGGGCUCGUAGGCGGUUCGUCGCGUCCGGUGUGAAAGUCCAUCGCUUAACGGUGGAUCUGCGCCGGGUACGGGCGGGCUGGAGUGCGGUAGGGGAGACUGGAAUUCCCGGUGUAACGGUGGAAUGUGUAGAUAUCGGGAAGAACACCAAUGGCGAAGGCAGGUCUCUGGGCCGUUACUGACGCUGAGGAGCGAAAGCGUGGGGAGCGAACAGGAUUAGAUACCCUGGUAGUCCACGCCGUAAACGGUGGAUGCUGGAUGUGGGGCCCGUUCCACGGGUUCCGUGUCGGAGCUAACGCGUUAAGCAUCCCGCCUGGGGAGUACGGCCGCAAGGCUAAAACUCAAAGAAAUUGACGGGGGCCCGCACAAGCGGCGGAUCAUGCGGAUUAAUUCGAUGCAACGCGAAGAACCUUACCUGGGCUUGACAUGUUCCCGACCGCUCCAGAGAUGGGGCUUCCCUUCGGGGCGGGUUCACGGGAGGAGCAUGGACGUCGUCAGCUCGUGUCGUGAGAUGUUGGGUUAAGUCCCGCAACGAGCGCAACCCUCGCCCUGUGUUGCCAGCACGUCAUGGUGGGAACUCACGGGGGACCGCCGGGGUCAACUCGGAGGAAGGUGGGGAUGACGUCAGAUCAUCAUGCCCCUUACGUCCAGGGCUUCACGCAUGCUACAAUGGCCGGUACAACGGGAUGCGACACGGCGACGUGGAGCGGAUCCCUGAAAACCGGUCUCAGUUCGGAUUGGAGUCUGCAACCCGACUCCAUGAAGGCGGAGUCGCUAGUAAUCGCGGAUCAGCAACGCCGCGGNGAAUGCGUUCCCGGGCCUUGUACACACCGCCCGUCAAGUCAUGAAAGUGGGUAGCACCCGAAGCCG